CCCAGCUGUACCAACCAAUCAGAACUAAGCA
rnacentral:piRNA from 1 species